AUGGACGGCGUCAUCGGCCAGAUCUUGGAGAAGCAAGUCCUGUCGGCCGCGAAGGCGGUCGAGGACAAGCUAGACGAGCAGAUCGCCGCGCUCGAGCGGCUCGACCCGGACGACAUCGAGGCGCUACGCGAGCGCCGGAUGCUGCAGAUGCGCCGCGCGGCCGAGCGCCGGGCCAAGUGGCGCGCCCUGGGGCACGGCGAGUACACGGAGGUCCCCGAGAAAGAGUUCUUCUCCGCCGCCAAGGCCAGCGAGCGCAUGGUGUGCCACUUCUACCGCGACAACUGGCCCUGCAAGGUUAUGGACAAACACAUGUCGAUUCUUGCUAAACAGCAUGUAGAAACACGGUUUAUCAAAGUCCAUGCUGAAAAGGCUCCCUUUCUGACCGAAAAACUAAGGGUUGUUGUGCUUCCAACUCUUGCCUUAGUGAAGAACGCCAAGGUUGAGGAUUAUGUGGUUGGAUUUGAUGAGCUGGGUGGUAAAGAUGACUUCAGCACUGAAGAUCUGGAGGAACGCAUUGCGAAAGCUCAAGUGAUCUUCCUCGACGGAGAGGGGCCUGCAAAUCCUUCCAAGCAAGCUGCUGCCAGCAAGCGAAGCGUUCGACAAUCAGAUACUGGCAACUCAGACUCUGACUAG
rnacentral:rRNA from 1 species